CCGUGGUCCACAGAGCCUCCCACACCUCUCCGAAGUGUCCCUCUCCAAGUUUCUUGUGGAGUCUGAACUCCUCUCGAGGUCUCUCCCACGGCUCCAUGUCGAACAGCUCCCGCUGCACAGAGACGACAGAGUGAGAUUCACAGAGGGCAGAUUUCACUUUUGAUGAUGUAUCGGGCAGAUACAUCAUCAAACACUCACCGGUCAGCAGCGUUGUCAGAGUGUGUCCGUGGCCUCAGACUCACAGCCUCCUCUGGAAGGGAAGAGAGAAGAGGGGAGGAAUCACUGAGCGUCCUCUGAUCGAGAAGAAGUCCAGAUUUCUUUUUUUUUUUUAGAUCUCAACACUCGUCUGCUCAUCUUUAAUAUCCAUAAAUAAUAAUAAUAAUAAUAAUAAUAAUAAUAAUAGGUAAUAUUCCUUUGCCCUAAACACCAACCAAUUGUGUUUAAUGUGACUCUCUCCAAACUGACGAGUGGGCGUGUUGCUGUUUAAACGAGUGGCUCCUCAUCCUGCAGUGAAAGUCUCCAGAUACUGAGAGCCCUCAGUGAGCUGUUCCCCGCUGGGCUCCAACUGAUGAGCCGUGAAUAAAGAAUACAGCGCGCCGGGGGUUUAAUGUAAGCUGCACUGCAGAGAUAGCGCGUGUAAUUACAGCACUGCCACGUGAUAUUACUCUCAAACUGUUCCAAAUAUUUUACACUGGUUAAUUACACUCCGAAUAUAUUUGCCUCUCAGUAUUAAUUUAUUCACGUAAAGCAUAAGACCGCCCUAAUUAAAAUUCCUGCUGCAGUGCAACAAUAGAGGGAUGAAUUCAGCAUCUUUAUGACACUUUGUCUCAGAUUCUUACUUAAAAACUGGAGCCUUUUCUGCCUGAAAUUUGACUUAAAUCAUCAGGAGGAACUGUUUUCAUUUUUCAGUUCUGUUAGCUGCAGUUUAGUGGAGCAUCAUUUUGCCAAAGUCAGUUUGAAUUCUUGGCACAAAUUCACCUUCUGGUAACGUACAAAGAGGGAGAGCAACAAUGAUUCCAAAAUGUUGGGACACAGUUUAAAAUAUAAAUGAAAAUAGAAGGUGAUCAUUUCCUAAGACACAUCUCCUGACGGCCAGAGAGCCCAGAUUCAUUUGAAAAGACGUUUAUCAAACCAUAGACACAUGAUUGAGCUCCUGCUAACACUUUUACCUGAGCAGCAUUUUAAAUCAAGUCUCCAGCUGCUUCAGUUGUUCAGCAGAAAGCCGCAAAUCUGUUUUGCUGUGAAGCUCCACAAAUGUUUUGCAGAAUACGAAACUUCACCCGACUUUCCAUCAGCGAGGAGGGACGAGAGAGUGGCUGAAACUGCGAGAAACCUCAAACACAGUCCCAGACGAUUAUUAAAUCACUGCUCCAGUUAUGUUUAUCGCAUGUUACCAUAGCAACAGUACUGAAAUCGUUCAGCUGACAGUUUCCAAAUAAACACCACAAACUAAACACAGAGCCUUUAUUUUUAUUUUAAUUAUACACUCUUAAUAGUCCUGAUAGAAGAAAAUAUAUUUCUUGAAAUUAAUAUCUGUAUCUUUAGUGACUGUAUUCUCACUUAAUGAUCAUUUUAGCUCCUGUGAUCUUUGUUACUGUGUACAAACUAUAUUACCUUAUAUUUAACAUGAACAUAUUUCAUAUUAUAACAUAUUUAAAUAUUGAAUAUACUGUAUUUUCAUUCUAUCACUUUGCCUAUCACACAACAGGUCAGAACGAGAAUUGUGAUGCUGUAAUAUUCAAUUUCUCACCUCAGAAACAAUAAAGUCUGUAUAUAAAUGUUAUGCAAGUGUUAUUAGUAAGCAGAGAUCUCUGGGUGUGGAUUCAGAAACAUAAACAUACCAACAGUUUCUCAUGUGUGCUCGUAUACUUCUAUCUUUGUGAGGAACAAUUUCACACAUGAGACAUUUCUGGAAAGUGAGAUUUUAGAUUUUAGUGUUUUGCCUUUAUCUCAGCAGUCUAACAGCAAUAGAGAAUAUUUUUUAAAAGCCACUGUUCACUUCCUUCUCAGCAGACUGACGCAGUUAGAAAUCAGCUGGUGAAGAUAGUGGAGUAUUUAGCAGCUAAAGAACCAGGUGGAGAAAAAACACAGAGCUGAGAGAGACUUGACCCAAACACGACUCCAAUUAAAUGAUCAUGUCGACGCUGCCCUUCAUUUGGACUUGUGUCUCAAAUAUGAAUCCACUAUUCACUCUCCUUUUAGCUCAUUUUGUAACUCCUGACAGAAAUAUCUGGUUCUUCAGCUUUAUUAACUCCUCAGGGAAAUGUUGUCCAAAAUCCUUCACUAUGAUCAACUGACAGUCACACUCCUGAAAGUCUGUUGGCCAUAAAACUGCUCACUGAAACACAACAGUGCAGCUUCAUGAACGCAUUAUGUCCUCACAAGAAUAGGAGUAAAAAACCAUUUGUGUUUUUGUA